GGAAUCCCUAUGUUUACAAAGCUCUCUUUGUCUCUAAAGUGUAAGGACAGACCCUCUCCUGUCUGUAGGGUUCACCCUUACAUUACUUUCCUAUUUUGCUGAACAGGAAACAGAACAUAGCAUGAAGAUGCCGCAGAAAGCGCAGCUCACGGGCGGGGCACGAGAUAUUUCUUCAUUAGGCGUUACAUCAAGAAGUCCAGAAAGUGAAGGAAAAGUGCUUUUACCUUCAAAGGCUUGCCCUAGAGCUUCUGCCAGACUCUGGUCCAGUGCGCAGAAGACGGGAAGUUGGCGUCUUUGCAGGAAACCGACCACCAGAGGGCGGCCCGGGCCUCCAGGAGGCCUGUGGGGUUUGGACUCCAAGCCGGGUUUUUCCAGAGCAGGCUCUUUGCAACACCGCCAGGAGGUGUGGCUCCAGGGACAAGGAUUGUAUUUUUAUCUGCUGCUCAUUUUUAGCAAUCUGGCCGACGUUUCUCUGGCACACAAAGGAAGUGGCUGCCUCCUGUGAGGCAUGAGUCACUCUGCUUGAGAGAGGUGGCCUGUCGCGGUGGACCCACGCCCCAAAGAGCUGUCAACAGUCCUGUGCCCCCAGAGGGGUUUAUUUCUGUCCCUCUGCCCAUCUGCCAGGUGUGGCUGUGAGUUUGCCUCUGGCAGGGCCUAUGCCGUUCCUGCCCUUCAGCAUGACAGCAGAGCUGGGAGGUCCUGACUCCACAGGCCCCCCCACGCCCAAGCCAGGCAGCGCUUAGGGGAGGUCCGAGUCAGCAGCGCACCUGAACGUCCAGACUGAGCCCAGCAGGGGAAGAAGGGAGGUGCCCCCUUCACACAUCCCAGGUGAAGGGGGCCCAGCCCUACAAUUGGGAGGUGGGAGGCUCUGGGGGCUUUGUGGGCACACCCCAGGCAGCCUCUGUUCCGUCUUAUGCCAUGUACAGCCCCUUGGUCCCCUCGAGAAUCUGUCCCCUGGAGGAGGGGGUCUCUUUCAGCCCAUCUCCCACAAUGCCACACUCCUUCUGAGGCCCAGUCCUUGGUGGAUGUGGUCUCCCAGGCACCAUGACUCAGGUCCCACUCAGGACCAAAACACAGCCAGGUAGGGGUGGCAUCGACAGGUGUGGGCAGGGGUGUGACUUCUAUGAGCUGGUUGCUCCCUGGGCUUUGUGUCCCCUGCUGGAAGAGUCCCUUCCUCACAAAGCCUGCAUGGACUCCCUUGCUUUUUGCCCCUGACGGCCGGUCAGAUCAUAGCUGAGUGUGCCCAGCUGUGCAGGGACAAGACCCCUCACCAAAGCACAUCUCAAUCCCCUGUGUCUCCAGGGCAUGGAUCAAACUCAGGAGGGACACCCAGGAAUGGAGUUGAAUGAGGCAAUUAGGGCUGUGAGCCCUUCACCCCAUGGCCACUGCAUGAGUGCAAACACACACACACACACACACACACACACUCUGCUGUGCGUGUCUUCUCCCCAUACCUAGGCUUAUGUCACAUGACUCUUUCCCCUGCUCACUCCCAGAACUUCUGGGGCAGCUCCCAGCCCACCCUGCCUUCAGCAUUGGCCCAGCAAACCAGUCCCAAGGUGGGGGCUGGACUGUCCUUUUUUUUCUUCUUUUCUCUCUCUUUCUCUCUCUCUUUCUUCCUUCCUUUUCUUUCCCUCUCUCUCUUUCUUUCUGGUACUGGGGAUUAAAACCAGGUGCACUUUACCACGGAGCUACAUCCCCAGCCCUUUUCGCUUUGUAUUUAUUGUGAGAGAGGAUCUAGCCAAGUGACUGAGGCCGGCCUCAAACUUGCAAUCCCCCUGCUUCAGCCCCCUGAGUUGCUGGGAUUACAGGCAUGUAUCACCACCCCUGGCUCCGAGGGGACUUUCUAAUUAUGCUCCUGGGAAAACCCCUGGUGGCUCCUGCCCCCUGGAGGAGUGGGGUGUUUUGCAGCCCAUCUCCCACAAUGCCUCACUCCUCCUGCCUUGCUCACACCUGCAGACUGAAUCCCACCCUCACCUCACCUCCACCCUCACCUCACCUCCACAGCCGACCACAAAGGACUCCGCUGUCAUGCCUUGGCAGCUCCAGCUCAUCCAGCAAUGUCACCUCCUCUCUGAAGGAGAAUCCUGAAUUCCUCAGGGCCUGAUGUAGGCAGAGGGGUCUACCCACAUGGGAGGCAACUGCCAUGUCCUAGGACUCCUGAGGCUCCUGACAGGGGUGGACAGGCUGCCUUCGUCCCGCAUGAGGUUUGGAAAUGAACCAUCAAGAUGCCUGGGCACCCUCCUUCCCACUGCAGAGAGACCACAGAGCUGACCUCCUUAUCCACCCAGAAAAAGAGACAGAGACCCUGAGUCCCAGCCUCAGACACCUGCAGGGUGUUCACGUCAGACAGGAGCAGAUGUUUGCAGGCCAUGAGGAGGGGCUGGGCCUCGUGAGUGCACAAGGGGCAACUCAGUCCCGAAUGACCCUUAUCUAGCCCAUGAGCUGCCCACAGGCGCGUGCUCUGCUGACAUGGACAGCAGCACACCUCGGCUUUUAUGCAGAAGUUUCCAGUUGUUAUGUGGGGAAUUUGUCAACCUUACCCUGGAUGAUUUCUUCCAGACUCUGAAAAUUUAGAAAACAGAAAUAAAAUAAUUUCCCUGAAGAAGUCAUAAAAACCUAAUUUUGCUUUUAACUCUUGAGCUUUUGGAAAUUGUGUUUGAGAAGUGACUCUUGCUUCUCUGUUUCCAUCAGAUUGUUACCUCGACGGCCUGGGUUGUCCUUUAU
rnacentral:lncRNA from 1 species